UACGAAGGGUGCAAGCGUUAAUCGGAAUUACUGGGCGUAAAGCGUGCGUAGGCGGGCCCUUAAGUCAGUGGUGAAAGCUCCGAGCUUAACUCGGAAACUGCCAUUGAUCACUAUAGGUCUUGAAUUCGGUCGAGGUUGGCGGAAUGUGUCGUGUAGCGGUGAAAUGCUUAGAUAUGACACAGAACACCGAUUGCGAAGGCAGCUAGCUAGACCGACAUUGACGCUGAGGCACGAAAGCGUGGGGAUCAAACAGG
rnacentral:rRNA from 1 species